rnacentral:rRNA from 1 species
GACGAACGCUGGCGGCGUGCCUAAUACAUGCAAGUUGAGCGAUGAAGAUUGGUGCUUGCACCAAUUUGAAGAGCAGCGCACGGGUGAGUAACGCGUGGGGAAUCUGCCUUUGAGCGGGGGACAACAUUUGGAAACGAAUGCUAAUACCGCAUAAUAACUUAAACAUAAGUUUUAAGUUUGAAAGAUGCAAUUGCAUCACUCAAAGAUGAUCCCGCGUUGUAUUAGCUAGUUGGUGAGGUAAAGGCUCACCAAGGCGAUGAUACAUAGCCGACCUGAGAGGGUGAUCGGCCACAUUGGGACUGAGACACGGCCCAAACUCCUACGGGAGGCAGCAGUAGGGAAUCUUCGGCAAUGGACGAAAGUCUGACCGAGCAACGCCGCGUGAGUGAAGAAGGGUUUCGGAUCGUAAAACUCUGUUGGUAGAGAAGAACGUUGGUGAGAGUGGAAAGCUCAUCAAGUGACGGUAACUACCCAGAAAGGGACGGCUAACUACGUG